CCACCUUAAGACCGCGCUCGCCAGCCCGCGCGGGGCGGCUCCCGGCGCCGCGGCCAAUG
rfam:Erinaceus europaeus unplaced genomic scaffold scaffold00043, whole genome shotgun sequence